rnacentral:rRNA from 1 species
UUGAAUUGAAGAGUUUGAUCAUGGCUCAGAUUGAACGCUGGCGGCAGGCUUAACACAUGCAAGUCGAACGGUAGCAGGAAGAAAGCUUGCUUUCUUU